UAAGAAAUAGGUAAACAGGAAUACCACAAAACUUUGAAUUUUGCUUUAGGAGUUCAAUCCUCCUUUUCUUAA
rnacentral:tRNA from 1 species